GGAGAGGUGGCAGAGUGGUCGAUUGCGGCGGUCUUGAAAACCGUUGACGUGUGAGCGUCCCAGGGUUCGAAUCCCUGUCUCUCCGCCA
rnacentral:tRNA from 1 species